AUGCCGCAGCCCUACACCCGCUCCCAGCUCUCCGAGAAGCUCCGCCGCCUCAAGAACAAGCACCGCAACGUCUCCUCCCGCGUCGCCAGGGGCCUCGACCCCGCCCGCCUCGCCCCGCACGACCGCGACGUCCUCCACCUCUGCUCCCGCCUCUGGGACCCCGCCAACGCCGCCACCUCGCCCUUCGCCGCCGCCGCCGCGCCCGCAGGCUCCUCGGGGAACAAGCGCCGCCGCUCCAACCCUGCCGUCGUGCCGCUCGACGUCCCGGCCCCCUCGGGGGACAGCAACUCCCAUGGCUACAAUGGGAUCAGUUCCUCCACCCCCGGCGCUGCCUUCCCCGAUGACAACGGCGCCGAGGAUGUGAUGUAUCUUGAGCAGGAGAGCGGCCACCACCUCUAUUUUGACGAGGGUGCCGCCUUUGUUGCCGACGGCAACCUUGAUGGGAUUACCUUGGACGGGAUUGCGCUGGACCAGGCUGAGACAAUGGCUGUUCUCACCGAUGUCGGUGACAAUGGAGUUGUUGGCAACGACGCAGCUCCCCAAAAUGCUGUCAACAAUGGAGGUAAUCCCCAAAAUGCUAUGAACAAUGGAGGUACCGGUCAGAACGGUAACUGCAAUGUAUUGCUGCCGCGUAGCAGCGAGCAUCGCAUGGCAAGCGCCGUGCUGGAUGUAUUUGAGGAGUGUUUGAGAGAGGCAAAGGCCGAUGGAAUAGUCAACGGUGGCAAUGCCCAGGAAAGCGAACUCGCCAGGCGAUGGAGGGCGCAGAGGAUUGAUGAGCUUGAUGUGUUGAGCCGAAGGCUCAGGUUGAUCAUUGAGGAUGCUACCGCCGCUGGGCACUGA
rnacentral:rRNA from 1 species